GCCAGAGUAGCUCAGUGGUAGAGCAGAGGCCUGAAAAGCCUUGUGUCGGCAGUUCAAUUCUGCCCUCUGGCA
rnacentral:tRNA from 1 species